rnacentral:lncRNA from 1 species
AGGAAAGUCCCCUCUGCCAAGGUUAAUGACUCCAUGAUAAUCAGAGACAGCUUGAGUCUGGGAGGCGAGGUUGUGUCUACGUCUCAGCAAAAUGAUAGAACCUUCAGGACAUCCCUUAAGGAUGUGGGAAAGAAUGCUGAAAACAGAAGUAUAAUAUAGCUCCUCAGCUAUGCAAAGUAUAAGGAUGCAGUAUGAACCGUAUAAGGAGCGUCACAGAGCUAAAGGAGCAGAGGCAGCUGCACACAGCCAGCUGCUCAGACAGAUACUAAGGACAUAAAGAGAUUUUGGAAGUGGCGAUAGAAAGG